GACGAACGCUGGCGGCGUGCUUAACACAUGCAAGUCGAACGGAAAGGCCCUGCUUUUGUGGGGUGCUCGAGUGGCGAACGGGUGAGUAACACGUGAGUAACCUGCCCUUGACUUUGGGAUAACUUCAGGAAACUGGGGCUAAUACCGGAUAGGAGCUCCUGCUGCAUGGUGGGGGUUGGAAAGUUUCGGCGGUUGGGGAUGGACUCGCGGCUUAUCAGCUUGUUGGUGGGGUAGUGGCUUACCAAGGCUUUGACGGGUAGCCGGCCUGAGAGGGUGACCGGCCACAAUGGGCCUGAGAUACGGCCCAGACUCCUACCGGAGGCAGCAGUGGGGAAUAUUGCACAAUGGGCGGAAGCCUGAUGCAGCAACGCCGCGUGCGGGAUGACGGCCUUUGGGUUGUAAACCGCUUUCGCCUGUGACGAAGCGUGAGUGACGGUAAUGGGUAAAGAAGCACCGGCUAACUACGUG
rnacentral:rRNA from 1 species